rnacentral:lncRNA from 1 species
UUUUUUACCAAAGUAAAUUUAACUAUUAUCAUUAAUCAACUAAUGUUAAAUACAAGAAUGAUAAGAACAAAAAAUACGGUAACUAUCCCAAGAACAGGCCAAGAAGUAUACCAAAUUGAAUUGCAAUCAUCAAAUCAAAUUGAUUCCCUUCACCUUCCACUUAUGGUAUGGUUUGCUUUGCCCUUUCAUGCACCACAUUCUUCGGUGGUACCGGUGGACAAAACCCAAUCUUAAUUAUUAUUAUUUUUGCACAAAGUUGUUUUAAUUAGCU